rnacentral:rRNA from 1 species
GACGAACGCUGGCGGCGUGUUUAACACAUGCAAGUCGAACGGAAAGGCCCUGCUUUUGUGGGGUGCUCGAGUGGCGAACGGGUGAGUAACACGUGAGUAACCUGUCCUUGACUUUGGGAUAACUUCAGGAAACUGGGGCUAAUACCGGAUAGGAGCUCCUGCUGCAUGGUGGGGGUUGGAAAGUUUCGGCGGUUGGGGAUGGACUCGCGGCUUAUCAGCUUGUUGGUGGGGUAGUGGCUUACCAAGGCUUUGACGGGUAGCCGGCCUGAGAGGGUGACCGGCCACAUUGGGACUGAGAUACGGCCCAGACUCCUACGGGAGGCAGCAGUGGGGAAUAUUGCACAAUGGGCGGAAGCCUGAUGCAGCAACGCCGCGUGCGGGAUGACGGCCUUCGGGUUGUAAACCGCUUUCGCCUGUGACGAAGCGUGAGUGACGGUAAUGGGUAAAGAAGCACCGGCUAACUACGUG